UACGAAGGUGGCAAGCGUUGUUCGGAUUUACUGGGCGUACAGGGAGCGUAGGCGGUUGGAUAAGCCCUCCGUGAAAUCUCCAGGCUUAACCUGGGAACUGCAUUUGUGACUGCAUGGCUAGAGUUUGGCAGAGGGGGGGUAGAAUUCCACGUGUAGCAGUGAAAUGCGUAGAUAUGUGGAGGAACACCGGAUGGCCGAAGGCAGCCCCCUGGGUCAAGACUGACGCUCAUGCACGAAAGCGUGGGGAGCAAACAGG
rnacentral:rRNA from 1 species